rnacentral:rRNA from 1 species
AUUGAACGCUGGCGGCAUGCCUUACACAUGCAAGUCGAACGGUAACAGGUCUUCGGAUGCUGACGAGUGGCGAACGGGUGAGUAAUACAUCGGAACGUGCCUAGUAGUGGGGGAUAACUACUCGAAAGAGUGGCUAAUACCGCAUGAGAUCUACGGAUGAAAGCAGGGGAUCGCAAGACCUUGUGCUACUAGAGCGGCCGAUGGCAGAUUAGGUAGUUGGUGGGAUAAAAGCUUACCAAGCCGACGAUCUGUAGCUGGUCUGAGAGGACGAUCAGCCACACUGGGACGGAGACACGGGCCAGACUCCUACGGGAGGCAGCAGUGGGGAAUUUUGGACAAUGGGCGCAAGCCUGAUCCAGAAAUGCCGCGUGCAGGAUGAAGGCCUUCGGGUUGUAAACUGCUUUUGUACGGAACGAAAAGCACUGGGUUAAUACCCUGGGGUCAUGACGGUACCGUAAGAAUAAGCACCGGCUAACUACGUGCCAGCCGCCGCCGUAAGAC